GACGAAGGGGGCUAGCGUUGUUCGGAAUUACUGGGCGUAAAGCGCGUGUAGGCGGUUGCCAUAGUCAGGUGUGAAAGCCUUGAGCUCAACUCAAGAAAUGCACUUGAUACUGGGCGACUAGAGGACCGGAGAGGAUAGUGGAAUUCCCAGUGUAGUGGUGAAAUACGUAGAGAUUGGGAAGAACACCAGUGGCGAAGGCGGCUAUCUGGACGGUUUCUGACGCUAAGACGCGAAAGCGUGGGGAGCAAACAGG
rnacentral:rRNA from 1 species